rnacentral:rRNA from 1 species
ACGUAGGCAGCGAGCGUUGUUCGGAGUUACUGGGCGUAAAGGGUGUGUAGGCGGUUGUUUAAGUUUGGUGUGAAAUCUCCCGGCUCAACUGGGAGGGUGCGCCGAAUACUGAAUGACUAGAGUGCGGGAGAGGAGAGUGGAAUUCCUGGUGUAGCGGUGAAAUGCGUAGAUAUCAGGAGGAACACCGGCGGUGUAGACGGCUCUCUGGACCGUAACUGACGCUGAGACACGAAAGCGUGGGUAGCAAACAG